UGCCUGGAGGCCAGGGCAGUGCACGGAGCCCUCUGCCUCCCCUCUCCUGGGCCGCAGGGACAUGGUGCCGGCUGCUUCUGAGAGCAGCGCGGGGCCUCCAGCACCACAGGGGUCAAUCCUGCGGGCCGGAUGCGGCCCACAUGCCAUAGUUUGCCCACCCCUGCAACAGGGCAAUCGUCCUGGGCCAAUCAGACAAUACAAUCACAAUUGCAUACAUAAACAACCAAGGAGGAACAAGGAGCAUAGCUCUAUGUGCAGAAGUGAUGGAGAUAAUAGAAUGGGCAGAAAAGAUCCUUGCUUUCCUAAAGGUGUUACACAGAAAUGGAGAUGGAAAGGAGUACUUGUGGCACCUUAGAGAGAUGAAUCAGGAAGCAGACUUGCUUAGCAGAUGCACAGUCAACAACUCAGAAUGAUGCCUGAAUCAGGAAGUUGUCUUCCAUCUGAUCUCAGACAUUCAGUUUUCCCUCGGUUGAUCUGUUUGCAAGUUGCAAAAACACCAAAUGGCUGAAAUACUUCACUAGGGAAGCAGAAUCCAAGUGCAACGGGGCACCAGUUCCCAUGGACAGGUAGCCAUAAGGCCUGCUAUGUGCAUUCCCCCCUUCCGUCGAAAGCAAAGUUGGUCGUGAUAACUCUGUAUAGGCCAAGGAGGCCAUGGUUGUACCAUCUGAUAAAGCUGAAACUGAAUUCACCAUUACAGCUACCACCCAACAGCUUUCCAAAGCACUCUUCUCCACCCAAAUCGUCUUCAGUUGAGAAGCCUGGUUAUUGAAAGCCUGUCUUCUGAAGUCGUCAGGACUUUGCUCGUGUCCAGGAGAGUCUCCAGGAUAAAAGCCUGUUCCAUUGGGACCAAGUUUAGCCUUUGGUGCCAGGAGAGCAAUGCUAAUCCAAGAGAUUCUGGAACUAGAUCUACCUUUGAAUUUUUCUAAGAAGAGAUGGAUUAAGGUUCUCAGCCCCACACCAUAGCACAACAGGUAUCAGCCAUUAGAAGAGUUCUAUCUUGAAAAUCUUCGGGCUCUUUGGAACAGAAUCCCCAGGUAGCCAGAUUUCUCAGAGCAGUCAGCCUGACCAGACCAGUCUUUCCUAAAUGGGACAUACUGCAGGUGUCGAAGGCCCUAACCACUCACCCUUUUGAGCCUCUCUAUAUCAGCCUUGUGUAUAUCCAUCAAAACCUGUUUUCUGGUUGCCAUCGUAUCUGGUAGUCAUGUUUCAGAGCUAUCUGUAUAGGAAUCCUACUAUAUGUUCCAUGAGGACAAGGUGGUACUGAAAACACCAAACUUUUCUCUCCCGGGUUCUCUUUCCCGUAUCUUGGAAGAGAUUAUCCUUCCUUCUCCCUAAAGCCACAGCACCUGAUUUAGAAGCCGUGGCACACUUUAGAUGUCAGAGCACUGAAAAAUCUCUCACCCUCACAGAAUCCAUGCAGAGGUCAGGUGUUCUGUGUGUCUUUCACUCAAAAUGCUAAGAGCUCAGAAUCUCAAGACUAGAUGGGUCAGAUUGUGCGUUGUUGAGGCCUUACAAAGUGUCAGGGACUCCUGUUCCAGAAGAAAUCAGGGCACAGUUCAUGAGAUCCAUGGCCAGGGGCCAAAUGAGCAUGUACCUCCACUGUAGAGAUAUGUGGAGCACCCACAUCGUCAUGGAUUAACACCUUUAUCAAACACUACAAAGUGGAUUUUCUGUCCUCCACAGAAGCUGUCUCUGGCAGGAACAUGCUCCAGGUGGUGGUCUUGUAAUGGCCUUGCCUUCUGGACAAUUCUCAAUGCGGUGGGGAGUCUGUCUCUCUCUUUUCAGUUUGCCUUUUCUUGUUCCUUAUUAUUCCUGUUCAUUGGUGACACUGGACUGCAGAAUGGAAAAUUUCGUACUUGAUAAUUUCCUUUCCGCUAACAGCAUCUCCCACAAUUUUACUCACCCAAGAUGGCUUUCUGUCAAGAGUCAAUAUUUUAUUUGGUGUAUUUACCCUACAGGGAGUUGACCUGGCAUAUGUGGUUAAUGAAUUGGACAUUAAUGUUAGUUAUACUUUUUCUCUUGAGUUUUUCACCCAGCUUUGGAAUGACUUACUUGUUGGCAAGUGGGAGAAGAGGGCAUGGUAUGCACAAGCCGCACUGCAGCUUUGAACCACCUCCAGAAGCUGCAGAUAGGAAGAGCACAGCCCAUGCAUAGCAGAAUUGUGGGAGAUGCUUUUAGCAGAAAAGAAAUUACCAGGUGUUGAACCUAACCAGGCUCCUGUCCACACAAACAACCCUCUCACCAGAGUUUGGUGCUUUCAACUCAGGCUACCUAGUCCAUUCUGGGGGACAGGCUUAAGCCUGAAUGCUGCUUUCACUCAGGCUGAUUACCUGCCAGCUUUUCAGUAUGGAUGCAGGCUGAACCACUUGGGUGCAGAUAGUCUUCCAGUGCCUUCCCACAGUUCUGCUCCAGGUGUCCAGAAGAACACACAAGUUCUCCCACAAUUCACCGGGAAAGAAUCAUAGAGUCUCUCAUCUUACUGCAGUGCAAAGAACCAUGGGAUCUGAUCCCAGAAGUGCUAGUGCCUUGUAUGGGUUACAUCAAGACUCAACAAGGUCAGAAAUGCACUCGGUCAAUGCAGAAAAUCCAAUUGAGUAAAAGGCUCUGAAAAUCAAAGUUCAUGUCUUCCAAAGAAAUGCUCAUCUCUAAUAGAAUAGGAUACUGUUUUGAUGAAUGUGAUCUCUUAUGAAAUCUCUGUAGAUUUCCUGUAGGGGGCCAAUGACUAACAAUACUUUACGCCCUCCUGCCAGCAUGCUGUUCAGUGGGAAUUGGCUGGUCCUCUGGAUAUGCUGCUGCUCUAAGUGAAGAACUAAUGUAAUUUGUGAGAAAAGAUGCUCAUGGUGACAGAAAAGUGUUACAUCAACCAUUAAAAUAGGCUGCAGAUGGCAGGCACUAAGCAGGAGAAGGUACAAACAAAAGCAAGGGAGUAGUCAAAAAGUUUCUCGCCUUGGUUGAUUGUCAUGUUAUGCUACAAAAGCAUGGGAAUAAGGUGGUCAGCAUAAAAAAAAAAUGCAAGAAAUGAAAUUGAAAAUACAAAUGUAUAUGUUUGUAACCAGAUUAACUUCAUUCCAGGUUUUGUUUUCUAAAAUUGUGAGUUAGAGAAUGCAGAGGAGAUUAGUAGGAAAGACUUUGAGCCAGUAUUAGUUUACACUAGGUAGCAGCACAGAAUGGUGCUGCUUAGUGUGUGUUUAAUGACAUAUUUUAUGCAGUGCUUUGAAAAAGAGCAGAAUGGGUGGAAGCUUAGCUAGAAUUUGCAUAUGGGCUGUUAAAUUUAAAAGAUACUGGUAUGACAUGCACCUCUUUAUGGGGGUAGCGGGGGAAUGAAGUGCUCCUCUCAUUUCUUACAGAAGGUCUGACAAUUGCUUUUCAUGCUUUUGUGAAAACCUUGUAUUAGGAACUGGUUCUUCAGAUGCCAGCUCUGGGCUACAUGGGAGGUGUUUUGCCAUACCAGAGCUGUUCUAAGGCAGUUUCAUUGCUAGGGGCCCAAUACACAUCACCAUAUUGAUCCAACAUCCCUGGGGGAGUGGGGGACUCCUUGUGGUGACCACCACAAGCAGGGGAAGGGUCAUGUUGGGGCAUUGAGGUGGGGUAUGCCUAGAGCCUGGAUUACCUUCAUCUGGCCUGAUCCUGAGAGGCAUCUGGACAAAUAGGAAGAAACAGAAGGAUAGUUGGAGAUGAAGGAAGCAUCUAAGAGCGUUAAACAUACAAACAAAAUGCUGAAGAUGCUAAUUUAGACUAGCUUAAGAACUACAUUUUCUCACAUGGCUGGACAAUGUCUAUCACGUUUGGGCUCCUCACUGACUCCUGCAGGCUCUGGCUUGAAGAUCCAGUUUAACAUUUAAGAUUUGAAGGGUGAAGGUGGUGAAGUAAUAGCCACCUGCUGGUUACUUUUUGCACAGACUUUUUUCAGAAGACUGGUACCAGAUGAAAAACGUUUCCCUUACAUCUUAAACUGGCUUAAAAUCAUGUGCAUGCUUCGUAAACUGAACAUCAUUUCAUAACUAUGAUGUUUGAGCUGUAAAAGUUGUCAGUGGCUCUUUUCCAUAGUAAUGUGUCAAGCAGACGUGAUUCCCCAAGGACAAGCUCCACAGUGGCCCAGGGUUUUGCAUAACAAAACUUUAUGAAGGGUUGUGAAUCAAAACCAUGUUCCUCUGUCAAGGAAAUGGACUUUGAUUUACUCGAUGUGCUAAAAAUUACUAAAACUAGUUCUUAGUAUUCUGUCCCAAAAGAUCUAAUAUUGUCCAUGCUUUGAAGCUGAGUUUGUGUGAAAGAGAAUGUUUUCUAUUUAAACGCAGAAAUUAGAGAUGAGGGAAAACCUAUGUUUGCUAGGCCAUCUCUUUGUUGAUGGUAAUGAUGCAGGAUUCAGUUUCUUUAGAACAAUUUUUGAUCAUGUUUUAAUGUAAAAUCCCACUCAUAAGUAGUUAAAAAGCAGUGGUCUCCAAACUGUGGAGGAAUGUUCGGGCCAGCACAUGGCAGAGGGAGCAUCAUGCUCCACCCCCAGCCCUGCUCAAUCUCUGGGCCAGCUCCACCUUCAGCCCAAGCUCUGUUGCUGAAGAAGCUUUAGCUGUGCAGUAAUGGAGGGGGAUCGCAGACAGAUUCAGGUAAGGGGGGGCUUGACUGGAAAAGUUUGUGCACCACUGUUAUAAAGGGUUAACAUAUGAUGAAUAGAUGUUUUGGUAAGUGGUGGUUCACCUGUCUGAGUCUAGUGGGUUGCUUAUAACCGUCUGUCACCUGCAAUUUUGCACGUAUAACCAUCUGUAAGAUACUACUCAUUUCUAUAAUAUGCUUAUAACUUCUAUUAACCAUUUAUAAACAGAACCUUAAGUUGAA